GGGUGCAAUCAUACCAGCACUAAUGCACCGGAUCCUAUCAAAACUCCGUAAUUCAGCGUGCUUAGGCUUGAGUACUACUAGGAUGGGUGAUCUCCUGGGAAGUCCUCGUGUUGCACCCC
rnacentral:rRNA from 1 species